rnacentral:lncRNA from 1 species
GCAUCUGGGGUCUUCCUCCACCAUCAAAGCUGGAAAGUCCCCAUAUGACCUAUCAUGUGUCGGUGCGAAAUUAAACCGAACAAAAAAAAAUUAUUAAGUAACAUAAUUGAUAUGUCUACAGUAUGAUAGUAUGAUAUCAUCAAGACAAAAUGUGGUAGUGCACAUUUAAAACAUUUAAAUUUUUAAAAACAGUCUAUAUCUUGCUAUGUAUUACAGAUAUACAGUUGAAAGGCAAAGUACAUGAAAAAAAUUAGGUUACAAUUGUGGGAUGCAAGUGUCAACCUGGACAAGAAUUCGGAAUUUACAAGCAAGUCAAGGUUACUUUGAAGGUCUUAUGGAGUGUUACCAAAUACUACUAUGUCAUCAGCAAAUAGCAUUAGGAUAAAGAAAUGAAACAGUCAAAUGGAUAGUAUCAAAUUGUCUGGGCUAUGCAGCAGCUUUAAUAGUGGUUUCCUCACAGAAUGAUCCAGCAUCCGCUGAAAUUGCGCUGAUGCAAGAUGGGUAAAUAAGAUGGCACUCAAGAAAUAUCUGAGUUUAUUCCCAGAGCGGCUAGAGGCUAUCAAAAUCAAGAAGUUAGAGGUUCGUAAGGUGCCCAUCUCAACUGGUUAAAGCUGCCACUGAUCUCAUGUCCUACACAGAUGAUGAUGAGUUGUCUGCAGUGGCGGAAAAGAUAGAAUUUGAUCUCAAGGUACU